rnacentral:rRNA from 1 species
CUUUCAACAAUGGAUCUCUUGGUUCUGGCAUCGAUGAAGAACGCAGCGAAAUGCGAUAAGUAGUGUGAAUUGCAGAAUUCAGUGAAUCAUCGAAUCUUUGAACGCACAUUGCGCCCCUUGGUAUUCCAUGGGGCAUGCUUGUUCGAGCGUCAUU